GAACACAGAAGAAGGACUGUGACCUCCCCUUGGGGAUCCCAGCAGGAAAGUGACCAGAUGCUGGCUCCCUCGCUUUGCCAUUUGGUGCAGAGAGAACCCCGGCUUUGUUUGUCACGUGUCACAUAUCCUGGGAAGUUCAGGAAAGCUCUUCUGCCAGGUGAGGUGGGGUCAGGCCCUUCGUGCAGGAUUUUCUUGAGUCCUCCUGGGCACCUGCACCCUACUGUCUGACACUGGUGACUUAGACCGGCUGUGCUCCACCUCGGCACUGCUGUCACUUGAAGCUGGGUAACUGUCACAGGGGUGGGGAGACUGUCCUGUGUAUCAGAGACCAUUAAAUGGCAUUCCUGGUCUCUGUCCCAACCAAUAGCGCCCUUCCCUACCUCUGAGUGAUGGCCAAAAAUGUCUGCAGCUAUGGCCGACUGUUCCUCUCCCCGCUCUUGAGCCUAUGGGGUGGUUCUACCUGACUGCCCUUAAAGGCCUUUGCGGUCCCUCUGAGAUGCUCCCUAUAUGACCCAUGUGUCCACAUCCUCAGGGGAGGGGACCAGGUCCCAGGUAGAUCUGUGUGUUCGGCCGGGGAGAGGCCUUGGUCCUGACAUCUCAGCCCUGGUGCACAACCUCUGUGCUGCUCUGGACGGGCCCUGUGCACAGCUGCCUGGUGUCAACUCCCUCGUGGCAAUCCUGGGAGAGGCCUUGGGUGCAAACCAUACCUUCCAGGAGCCCUUGGGUGGCAGCCAGCUCCAGCUCAUGCUGAAGGCAAUGCCGGCCUGGCUGCCACAGUCCUUGUCCCCGUGCUGAGUGCCCGUGCCUCCCCGAGUGGCACCCCUGAGAUCCGGCUGGCAGCUGUCCUUCCGGAGGGUCCCCUGCUCCGUGCACGUGAGCUCCUGUGCCCGUUCACUGGGGUCGCGACUGUGCAGUGGGCGUUCUGAGCAGUCUGUGAGUCACGUAUCUACUGAACACGGGCUGUGCACAGGCUAUACUGGGACAGGCACCCUGUGAGCAGGUGCCUGGCCCUCGGUUCUUCCAGAGCCUCUGCCUGGUGGGGAGGAGGCAGACUAUUCACCAGAGCAUCACAGGUGAGCAAACGGUUACAGCACCGUCACGGGUCCAGACCCUCCAGUGCGGGGACGGCAGACCGCAGGCCACAGGCCGCUUCCUGGUCUGUUUUUAUAAAUAAAGUUUUAUUGGCACACUCA
rnacentral:lncRNA from 1 species